GUCCACGCCGUAAACGAUGGAUACUAGCUGUUUGGUUUUCGGACUGAGUGGCUAAGCGAAAGUGAUAAGUAUCCCACCUGGGGAGUACGGGCGCAAGCCUGAAACUCAAAGGAAUUGACGGGGGCCCGCACAAGCGGUGGAGCAUGUGGUUUAAUUCGAUGAUACGCGAGGAACCUUACCAGGGCUUAAAUGUAGGUUGACAGGCUUGGAAACAGGUUUUUUCUUCGGACAACUUACAAGGUGCUGCAUGGUUGUCGU
rnacentral:rRNA from 1 species